GAGGAAAAGAAAAUAACAAUGAUUCCCCUAGUAACGGCGAGUGAAGAGGGAAAAGCUCAAGUUUGGAAGCUUCGUGGCAUAGCUACGACGCGUUGUAAACUGAAGUUUUUUGGGUGAUUGGGCGACCGGAUAAAUAAGUCCUUUGGAAAGGGGCAACAUAGAGGGUGACAUUCCCGUCUUUGGUCCGAGUCAGUGCAGUCGCUGCCCAGGAAACGACGAGUCAGGUUGUUUGGGAAUGCAGCCUAAAAUGGGAGGUAAAUCUCUCCUAAAGCUAAAUACUGGCGUAAGACCGAUAGCGAACAAGUACCGUGAGGGAAAGAUGAAAAGGACUUUGAAAAGAGGGUCAAAUAGUACGUGAAAUUGUUGAAAGGGAACCGUAUGAAAGUAGACUGGCUUGGUGAUGAUCAAUGUGUGUUUCGGCACGCAUGCACUCAUUGCCUUUGCCAGCCAGCGGCAGUUUUUGCUAAAGGAAGAAAAUCAGGGGAAUGUAGCUUCGAUUUCGGUUGAAGUGUUAUAGCUCCUGGUAAAAUACUUUGGCAGAGACUGAGGCUAGCAGCGGAUCUUUGGGAACUUUGCGCGCUUGUCGUCCAAUGGUUAAGUUUUCUUCGGAUGCUUGCGUCAUUGGGUGGCAACUCGUGUGAUGCUUCACCCUUCCGCUUAGGUCGCUGGCGUAAUGCUUUUAUAUGACCCGUC
rnacentral:rRNA from 1 species